UGCAUCCCCACCAAAACAGAAUUGAAGGGGACAACGGGAAAGUUUUCCAGGAAUGGGCUAGGUAUGAACGAGCACAACACAUGCUUUCCCCCAUCAAACUGUUCGAUAAAGGGGAACUGGAAACAAACCAAACUGUGGCAACAGCGAUCCUGGAUGUGGUGGCUCUAAGGCAAAGCAGAAAUGACAGCACUGACUUUAGAGGAGAGGUCAUAAAAGGUACUGUAUGUUUUUGCUAGGCUCUUCAUUUACUCCAGUCAGGGGUUGCCGAUUGUUAUGCCAUAAUACCAGAGGAACUAUGGAGAGGUGCUGCCGUUGAGCUGAAAUCUCCUUCAAAGCUUUGUGGAUUAUCUUGGAACGAGAUCCUCUAUGCCUGGUCAAGCCUUGAGCUGACUGCAAACUUUAUGAGACCUUCAGCUAUGAAUACCCAGCUUAGCCACAUUACUGGGAUGGGGCUGUAGCUGGUUCUUUUGGAGUGCUUUUCCUGUAAGCAUAGGGCUGCGGAUUCUAUCACCAACAAUCAGUGAACCCAGCAUAGAAGUGGAUGCCUAGAUCCUGGCAUGAAGGAGAAUCAGGAAUUCAAGGACAAAUCUGAGAGCAGCCUGGGUGUGGGUGGAUUCUUCAGGCCACUGAACAUCAGGCUAUUUAUUACAUGGCCUAAGUAACUAUUAGACAAGGUAAAGGAGAAAGCAGGGGGCACACAUGUGAGGGUUACUGUAGCUUUUCUGUAAAUUUCAAAAUAAAAUGUUAAA
rnacentral:lncRNA from 1 species